UUGUUUUUGUUUUUUUGUUUUUUUUCAACAGAGGCUCCAACUUGGGAAAAAAGAAGCAACACAUUUGUCACAUACCAGGGUGUGGCAAAGUAUAUGGGAAGACUUCACAUUUGAGAGCUCAUCUCCGCUGGCAUUCUGGAGAGCGUCCAUUUGUUUGUAACUGGAUGUUCUGUGGCAAAAGGUUCACUCGCAGCGAUGAGCUUCAGCGACACCGAAGAACACACACAGGCGAGAAGAAAUUUGUCUGUCCAGAAUGUUCAAAACGCUUUAUGAGAAGUGACCACCUUGCCAAACACAUUAAAACACACCAGAAUAAGAAAGGUAUUCACUCCAGCAGUACAGUGCUGGCAUCAGUAGAAGCAACAUCUGAUGAUACUUUGAUUACUGCAGGAGGAACAACACUUAUCCUUGCAAAUAUUCAACAAGGUUCUGUUUCAGGAAUAGGAACUGUUAAUACAUCUGGCACCAGCAAUCAAGAUAUUCUUACCAACACUGAAAUACCUUUACAGCUUGUCACAGUUUCGGGAAACGAGACAAUGGAGUAAAUAUUACACAAGAUACCUAUUAAUUGUGGUUAUUUUUAUACAGUAGUGAGAAGAAUAUUGUUCCUAAGUUCUUAGAUAUCUUUUUAUUGAUGUGCAGAAAUUUUUGGAUUGACAGUAACUUGGUUAUACAUGACACUGAAAUGCCUUACUUUGUAUGAUAUUCCAUAGUAUAUUAAAAUGGUAAAAUUGCAUGGGUUUUGUAGGUACUUUUGGAAUCUAGAAGAGAUGAAAUUUUACCAAGUUAUAUUAAAAAAAAAGAAUUUAACGAUGGAAAUGGUAAAAUGGUAGUCUAACCAAAUGCAUCAAUCCUGUGUGGUUUAGUGUAAAAAAAUUAAAAAAAAAUGAGAACAUGUUGGUAUUUAUCUAUUGUAAGAUAAAAGAAGUUGAUGAGUGAAAAGAAAUCAUGUUAUGAUAAAAGAAAUUUUGUAAUUUUCUUGAUGACUGGAAUUUUUAUUAUGCAUAACUGACAAAUCAAGUUUCCAAGCAAAUGUUACAUAGUGUAGGCUUUACUUAGCUCAUCAACUUGUCAUUUUGAAGCUAAUUAUUUUAAUUAGGUUAACUAUGUACAAUAUUUUAAGCAUUACUCUUGUAAGAUUUUGAAAACUACAUUUUAACAUGGAACUCUAGGGAUAGUCACAUUUUAAAUCCUAUUGAAAAGCCAUGUUUAAGAUUUAAUUUGCCAAAAUGAUGUCUUGUUAAUAUUCUUUCAAUAACCAAGGUGGGCAAUAUAACCAAUGUUAAAAAAAAAAAACUUAAAAUAGUUUAAAAAAAAAAAAAAGUAUGUAUAGGUUGAGGCAUUUGGGUGGUAAGGCAAAUGUUAUAGUGAAGUAUAUCCCUUCUCUUGAACAUUGGAGGACCAAAAAUAAGGUGUAUUGCGUCUCAGCAGUGAUUUUUAUCAAAUCUUUUUCCAAAAUCAUCUGUCUGCCAGGGCCUUAAAAGCCAUCAUGUAAAUUACCAGUAAAAUAUAACAUAUGCAAGUACAACGGAAAGAUCACUUCCAUAUUGACAGUACUCCUAAACAUAUGGAUAUAGUCAUAGUGAACUAGGGGUUUUAUGAGGUUUUUAUUUGUUUGUUGUUUAGUUUUUGGUUAGUCAAUCUGCAUUUAAAUAUCAGCCAUCUUUCCUUUUUUGCUUCUUCCCUUAAAAAUUGUAUGUAUCCAGUACAUUUAACUGAUAAACAUAUAUGUUUUUUAUUAUGCUGAAUUUUCUUUUUUUAAUUACUGUUUAUAUUUUCAAUUAUAGAAAAUGUACAAAAUGAAGUUAUAUAGCCAGUCUAUAAGUGCUAUACCAUUUUCCAAAAAUGUACAACAAUAAUUACUGCAGUUCACCUAUUUACAAACAUUUGGAAAUCUGUUCAUUUGUUAUUCUAAAAACCACCUCAAAUUUAAAGGCUACCUUAUUGUACGUUUAAAGUGUAUUAUAACAGUGUGGUAGUUAAUAAAACACUAUUUUUUUUUCUUUUGA